UCCCUGGUGGUCCAGUGGCUAAGACUCCGCCCUUACAAUGCAGGGGACCCGGGUUCGAUCCCUGGUCAGGGAA
rnacentral:tRNA from 1 species